ACGGGUGAGUAACGCGUGGGAAUCUACCUUUUGCUACGGAAUAACGCAUGGAAACGUGUGCUAAUACCGUAUGUGCCCUUUGGGGGAAAGAUUUAUCGGCAAAGGAUGAGCCCGCGUUGGAUUAGCUAGUUGGUGGGGUAAAGGCCUACCAAGGCGACGAUCCAUAGCUGGUCUGAGAGGAUGAUCAGCCACAUUGGGACUGAGACACGGCCCAAACUCCUACGGAAGGCAGCAGUGGGGAAUAUUGGACAAUGGGCGCAAGCCUGAUCCAGCCAUGCCGCGUGAGUGAUGAAGGCCUUAGGGUUGUAAAGCUCUUUCACCGGUGAAGAUAAUGACGGUAACCGGAGAAGAAGCCCCGGCUAACUUCGUGCCAGCAGCCGCGGUAAUACGAAGGGGGCUAGCGUUGUUCGGAUUUACUGGGCGUAAAGCGCACGUAGGCGGAUCGAUCAGUCAGGGGUGAAAUCCCAGGGCUCAACCCUGGAACUGCCUUUGAUACUGUCGAUCUGGAGUAUGGAAGAGGUGGGUGGAAUUCCGAGUGUAGAGGUGAAAUUCGUAGA
rnacentral:rRNA from 1 species